CCGCCCUCGGGCGCCGCGCCCCCCACGAAGUUCUCCCUCCCGCACCGCCCCCCGCGAGGACUUCAGAGGCGGUCCCUGGCCGGCCGGCGCUGAUUGGCUGUCUCUCCAGCGCCCCGCCCCUGUGCACGCGCAGGAGGUGGGGCGGGCCCCGAAGCGGGCGCGCGCGGCGCGGUCCCGCGGGCGAAGCGUCCGUGACCCGCGUGCCGGCCUCAGCGUCCGGGCCCGGGCGUCCGCGAGGUGGGGGCGGGCGGCGGCGGCGGGGCUGUACCCGGGCUGGGGACUCACGUGGCCCCGAAGGGCCCCCCCCCCCCUUUGCCCCGGCAGCGCUCCCUAGCCGCGGCCAGUCGGGCGUCCCGCAGGGACUGGGAGCUGCCCGAGGGGCCGUCGUCGUCGCCAGCCCGGUAGCCCGGAUGUCGCUGCCCCCCGCGGCGGGGCCGCCGACGCUCCUCUAGGCCCCGGGAGGAGGCUCGUCUUAAAGGGACAGUGCCGAGUUCGUGCCGGAAUGGGCGGCGCAUCCUGCCCUCCGUGCGCGACCCGUGUCCUGAGGGGACGCCGCGGCGCCCGCGCCAUGGGCCCCCUCCUCCGGGCGGGGCGCCGUUGGAGCGCGGCGCGCCCUGCCCCGGGACGGCCGCAGAUGGGUUUUCUCGGGCCCGAGCCGUGGCCGGUGGCGCCGCGCGGGGCCGGGAGGCGCCGGCCUGUGAUUGGCCGAGGCCGCCGUGAAUGCAGGACAUUGUCUGGUCGCGGCCGUCUCUGUCCCUGCCCGCCGCCCUUCCACAGACCAAGAUGGGUGCGGAGCGAGGCUCCGGUCGCCAAGGUGCCCGCGGCCGGGGAGUGCCUUCGAUGGUGGGAACACCACAGUGGGAAAACGUAACUUUUACGAGAUCACGGAUUCUGAGAAUGGCAAAAGGUGAGCCUGUGGCUGCCGGAGAGCCGUCUGUGCUUAGUUUGCUGCGGAAAGUCAAGCAUGUCUGUCACCUUUGAAGAGAAACACCCCCAGAAAUUUGCAUCUCUAUUCUCUUUUAACCAGACAUGGACAUGGACAGUAGCACAUGGGAAAGUCUGCUCACCUUCUGCUUUUCGGUGUUUUCUCUUUCUCUUUGUUCUUUUUCUUCUUUCAGGCCUAUGGCUUCAUGAGACCCCGAGAAUACCGGCUGGCCAUGUUGGGUACAUCGGGUUGGUGUCCAUCCCAGCAGAGGUGCUGGUGUCCAUAGUCAGUAUCGGCCGAAGGCUGCCAAGUCACUCAGUUCUUCAGAAGACAGAGAAAGGAGGGGAGACCAAGAAUGCGUGACAGGAAUUUGGGGGUUCAGUAGCAUAAAGCUGAGAGAAAGGGCUGGUACUUUCAAGACAUUCCCCCCUCCCCUUUCUUCUUCAGUCUGUACCUUCGGCUGAGAAGUGGCACAUCCUUCAUGACAAUCAAGGGUAGAGGGUUGCUGCCUCUCACAUUCCCCUUGGCCUUAGAGACCUGGUGCUACAGGCAGUAGACAGGUCAUGCUCCUGGGGAGCUCUGCCAAAGUCCGGGGGAAAGGGGCUUUCAGUCUCAAAUCAUUCCCUGUCAUUGCUUGUUCACGGUGCCUGUAUCGGGAGGGUUAAGAAAUUAGAAAUAAAAUUAUUCUGAAGGGGAUCACUUGCGACUCAUUAAUCCAUGUGAUUUCUGAUGCUCAUUAUCACUGAAAAUUGAGUUGCCUAAGUCUGUUUAACUUUUGUGAUUAAGGAUCAGCGCUAGGAUUUGAGGUUCCAGGGACAGAGAGGGAUGAAAGAAUUGUGUUCAGCUGUCCUCCGCCCCCACCCGCCCCACAGCCAGCACCCAGUGCUCUUUGUCCUUGGCCAACAAGUGCUUCUCCAUCUCCCGUAAAACACUGACAGGGAGGUGGACAGCGCAGCAUGGAGCACAGGCCAGCUUUGGGCGACCCGAUCCACAAGUCCUGCUGCCAUCAGUGUCUUAGUCCCUAAGGCGCCUAGAGGGGCAGGUCUGACUGAAGCCUGGUCUCAUUAGCCAGGGGUUGUCUUUUUAUUUUAUUGUAGUUUUACAGUGUUCCAUAACGAAGCUCUUUCCAUCUGACAUUUUUCUUUCUUUUUAAAAAGAUUUUAUUUAUUUAUUUGACAGAGAGAGGGAACACAAGCAGGGGCAGUGGGAGAGGGAGAAGUAGGCUUCCGGCGGACCAGGGAGCCCGAUGUGGGGCUCAAUCCCAGGACCCUGGGAUCAUGACCUGAGCCAAAGGCAGACGCUUAACGACUGAGCCACCCAGAUGCCCUCCAUCUGAUAUUUUUCAAAUCCAAAUAUUUAAACAUCUUAUGAAUGUGUAAAACUAUUUUAAAUCUAAUAGCAAGCACCUACUCCUGUAUCUUUGUACUAGUACUUCUCACUCAACAGGUGGCCACCCUCUCUUCCUGGGCUCCAGCACACAACCAGAUUCUGGCACGCCAUCUUCCUUCUUUAACCCCUCAGCCUGGGGUGGGGAUGGCUUCCCAUGGCGGCCGCCCCCGGAUGCCUCACCUUGCUGAUUCCUUUCACUUGGCCCACACUUCUUAAAAGUCUUUUCCGAAAGUCCAAGUGAAUGUGCCUUUCCUUCCCUUCUUGGAUGGGGCCUGCCUCAGACAUCCAUCAUGAUGUGGCCCCUUAUUGAUAUCUCCAGUUUCAUCUGUGGCCUUUCCCUGCUGUGUUUUUUUUCCCCCUCUCACACAGCAAACUACUACUGUCCCCCACACACUUUGACCCUGGAGGAUGCUGUUCUUUCUGUCAGGAAAACUCUAUGAAGACUUCCUUGGGCUCCUUCCACAUGGGCUGCGUCUCUUACAACAUUGACCACAUUGUAUUGGAAUUGCUGCUUGGCCCUUUGAAAAAUGAGGUUCCUUGAGGUCAGAGCUCACAUCAUUCAUCUGCACAUCUUGGUGCUUAGCACCAUGCCAAACACAUACAAGAACAUGAUGAAGGAAUAGCUAAAUACAGAUCGCCAUUUCCUUUAUUGAUUCUUUAUCCAGAUCAGCUGUCUGGCUUUUUCAAAAUUUAAUCAAUUCAAAAUUGAAGUUUCAUUUAUUUCAAUCUUGUCAAUAUUGAUGUAGAUAAAAUGAUUGAUACCCUCUAAUUAACAUUUACGUGGUAGCAUGCUUUUACUACACUGGAUACACCAGAUCUCUCAAACCUUGAGUAAAUUAAUAUUUCUAAUUCAAGUGUUUACAAUUUUUUUUUUUAAGAUUUUAUUUAUUUAUUUGACAGAGAGAGACACGGCAAGAGAGGGAACACAAGCAGGGGGAGUGGGAGAGAGAAGCAGGCUUCCCAAUGAGCAGGGAGCUGAUGCGGGGCUCGAUCCUAGGACCCUGGGAUCAUGACCUGAGCUGAAGGCAGACGCCCAAUGACUGAGCCCCCCAGGCGCCCCUCAAGUGUUUACAAUUUAAGAUCCACUUGUCUCUGCUGAAGGAGCCCGCCAUUUCCCACAGGACCUGGACAUACCGUGAGCUAAAGGUCUUGCUGCUCCACGCCCCUCUGGGGUCCAGCAGCAUCCAUAUGACCGGUGACUGCUUUGGAAAUGAAGAAGCUCAGGAUGAAUCUGGGCCUUUGCAAUCCAAAUCGGCAUCUUCACAAGGGCUGCUGUGACAAAGUACCACAGGCCGGCUGGCUUCAGCGACAGAGCAUCCGCUGGUUCCAGAGGCUGGAAGUCUGAGACCCUCGCUCCCUCUGAGUCUCUGGGGAUAGCCCUUCCCUGCGUCUUCCUAGCUCCUGCAUCCUUGGCCUGCAGCUGCCUGGCUCUGCCCCGUGCCUGGCUCGGCACAUGGCACUCUCUGUGGGUGCCUGCCUCCGCACCUGGGGCUCUCUUCCUCCUCUGUGGAAACCGGUGAUCAUUAAGCCCCCUCUCCCCCAACUCCAGUAUGGCCUCACCCACAACGCUGUGCUUUCCAAGUAAGGCCACAUUCUGCUAGACCUGGGGAUCCCGAGAUGAAGAAGACAUGGCCUUUGGAGGAGAUCCCGGUCAGGAGGGAGACGGGAGAGCAGCAGGAGGGGUUCCCAGGGUGUCUUUCCAGCCAGACUCCAGGCCACCCCCACGAUGAUUCCGUGGCCCUGGAACCUGGAUGUGUAACAAAUCCCAAGCGAUUCUGACUCAGACAGCCUCACUUGCAAUCCCCCGCCAGAGGCAUCAGGAUCCCAGCAGAGGUCCCCAUGCCUCCCAGCUCGCCCAGAGCGGCCCCCAAGUGUGCUUGCUGACAGAUGACAGUGUGUGUGUUUGUGUGCACGUGCGCGUAUAUAAGAAUGAAUCUGAGCAGGAGACCCUAGUUGUGGAGAAAGCAAUCAGGAAUUGGUUGUUAGAAUACAGGUGACAAGAGCCCUCACUCACAGUGUCAUGACAGACACUUUUAUUGUGGCGAACUCUAUACACUAACCUCAAGCAUUUCAAAACAGAGGUGGUUCACUUAUUCAUCCAAUACUUCAGUGCCAAGUUGUACUCAGUGCCUUGGGAUUUGGGGGGUUUGCUCUUAAUUUAAAAAAAUUUAAUAAAUUUAGGAAAUUAAUAUAACACAUUUUGAUUUUGCCCAUUUUGGACAUGUAAAAAUUGUCAUCAUCACAGCAAGGACAUCAAUUACUUUAUUUUACAUUUGUAUGUAUUUUUUUCUGAAUAGGUAAAACCAAAAUGUACAAAGGAUGACGGUACAAAGUGAAUGUCUCUCCCACAGAGGUGACUGCUGUUACUUGAGAAAAGCCAUUUUAACACCAAAGAAGUAAGAAGGACAUAAUCUUAGAGAAAAAAGAGAGCUUUUCCCAAAAGGGAACAGUUAGGGGAAAAAAUAUGUGUAUAUAUUUUUCCUUUUUUUUUAUUCAUCCAUCACUUUUUUCCAAGUAUUUCCACACUCCUUUUAUGAAUGAGGCAUUGUUCCAGGUGGGAGGAGUACAUCAGAGAACAAAACAAUGCAAACACCAUUCCCUGCCUUUUUGGACUUACAUUCCUGUGGGAACUGAAUCUGAAAUUGGGACACAGAAGUCCAAGUCAUAUGAAAAGGGAGAAGCCAACAGAAGCUAAAGGAAGAGGAUGUCCCAGCCAGCCAAGUGCCCCCCGGUGACCUCCAGGCGCAAGGGGUACAAAGGUGGACAUGAGGUUAGAAAUCGCCACCUGCCAUGCCCAGGACUGCUCAGAGGAUACGCCAGUCAGACCAGGUGAAGGACUGCAUGUCUGGGUCUCAUCGGCACUUGAGAAGCAGAGCCUGACAAUAGAGUUUGAUCCAGAUUAGGCACUGCAUUUUAACAAGUUAUAAAGGAAGACAGCGUUGUUGUCUUCCUUUACAAAGGAAGGAAGGAACUCCCUGGACUUCUAGUUAAACAAGAUUUUAUUUAUUUAUUUGAGAGCGAGCGAGCACAGAGGGAGAGGGAGAGAGAAGCAGUCUCCAUGUUGAGCAGGGAGCCCGAUGCAGGACUCGAUCCCAGGACCCUGAGAUCAGGACCUGAGCCGAAAGCAGACGCUUCACCGACUGAGCCACCCAGGAAGGACAUCGUUUCUAGAAUUUGUGUGUUAUCUCCACUUGCAUCUCAUCAUCAUCCCCAUCGGAAGAUCAGUUGUAUACCUUUGACACCCGCUUCGAUUUGGAGCUGAAUUCCGGGCGUAUGACCAAGUUCCUCUCCAGGCAGUACUAGUUUGCACUUCCACUGGCAACAUGAGAGUGUUUCGCCAACAGAAUGUGUUGUCAUACUUUAAACUUUUCCCAAUCUCACAGGUGAGAAAUGUUAUGUUUUAAUUUCUGUAUGUUUGAAUUUUUAUAUUUUAGGGAUAUUUCAAAAUCUUAAGGGUGAACUUUUUCCUUUUUUUUUCUUUUCCUAUCAGGAUUUUGGUCCUUUGUCCUUCAACUU